rfam:Thermobaculum terrenum ATCC BAA-798 chromosome 1, complete sequence.
UAAGGCCUUCGGGGCAGGGUGCAAUUCCCGACCGGCGGUAGAGCCCGCGACCCCCUGCAACAGGGGUGGACCUGGUGAGAUUCCAGGGCCGACGGUAAGAGUCCGGAUGGGAGAAGGCCGCU